GCUGAACAUGCACGCGAAGGACAGGUAGGAGCAGGGCCUGAUUGCUAGUUGCUACUUUUGAACAGGGUUUUGAAACGGCGAUGCUACUAGAGGGUGAAGUGAGGAGAGAGAGUGGGGAACGAGGUGGAGUGGCGAGAGGGAGACAGAGAAGUGACACAAAUCAAUGUGAGCACCCAAAGCACCAUCACCAGCAGCGGCAGAGUCCCCCGACCUCCAUCACCCCUCUGCCUUCCCUGGGAGAGACCAGCAGACACAGAGUCACAGGAAUGACAGACUCCUCAACAAUGCAUCAUCCGGAGUGAGGAGCUUCAGUGGACGGAUCAGCUGAUUACUUCUCGACAUCUCUUCUCUCUUCGGAAAAAUUCAUCGCUUAUCCGGUACGAACUUC